AAGCAUAUCAAUAAGCGGAGGAAAAGAAACCAACAGGGAUUGCCUCAGUAACGGCGAGUGAAGCGGCAAUAGCUCAAAUUUGAAAUCUGGUGCUUUCAGUACCCGAGUUGUAAUUUGUAGAGGAUGCUUCGGCUUACGCCCCGGUCUAAGUUCCUUGGAACAGGACGUCAGAGAGGGUGAGAACCCCGUUUGCGGCUGGCGGCCUCCGCCAUGUGAAGCUCCUUCGACGAGUCGAGUUGUUUGGGAAUGCAGCUCUAAAUGGGAGGUAUAUUUCUUCUAAAGCUAAAUACCGGCCAGAGACCGAUAGCGCACAAGUAGAGUGAUCGAAAGAUGAAAAGCACUUUGGAAAGAGAGUUAAAAAGUACGUGAAAUUGUUGAAAGGGAAGCGCUUGCGACCAGACUUGCCCGCGGAUGCUCAGCCGGCCCUUCGGCCGGUGUACUCUUCCGCGGUCAGGCCAGCAUCAGUUCGGGCGGUCGGAUAAAGGCCUUGGGAAUGUAGCUCCCUUCGGGGAGUGUUAUAGCCCUCGGUGCAAUGCGGCCCGCCUGGACUGAGGAACGCGCUUCGGCCAGGAUGCUGGCGUAAUGGUCGUAAGCGGCCCGUCUUGAAACACGGACCAAGGAGUCUAACAUCUAUGCGAGUGUUUGGGUGUCAAACCCGUGCGCGUAAUGAAAGUGAACGGAGGUGGGAGCCCUCGGGUGCACCAUCGACCGAUCCUGAUGUCUUCGGAUGGAUUUGAGUAAGAGCAUAGCUGUUGGGACCCGAAAGAUGGUGAACUAUGCCUGAAUAGGGUGAAGCCAGAGGAAACUCUGGUGGAGGCUCGCAGCGGUUCUGACGUGCAAAUCGAUCGUCAAAUUUGGGUAUAGGGGCGAAAGACUAAUCGAACCAUCUAGUAGCUGGUUCCUGCCGA
rnacentral:rRNA from 1 species